rnacentral:lncRNA from 1 species
UGGGAACAAUGUCUCAUCUGGACCUUGCCGAGGCUCUCAACUGAGAGGGGAACACAACGCAAGAUGAAACUCAAGGAUGAGGACACACAGGAGGGACUAUUUUCAGGAAGGAGACACCGGCCUUCGAACUUAUAAGAUGCAGAUCUGGAUUGGAUACUGGAUAGUGAUCUGUUGUGGCGCCUAAAGACAGGUUUUAUGAAGAAUCUCCAUCAGGUGAAAAACUUAUAUACACUAUCAGCAAAUCAAGGCGAUAACAACUGAAUAACAAAGAAAAGAGUUAAGACCACAAACUGAUAUCUGACUGAAGCAAUUCCCCGAGGCAAGAACCUCAUCCCUCUGUGACCAACCAGUUGUUUCAAGUGAAAUUACCAGCAAGGGAGUGCACCAAAUGCUAUCCAACCACAAGGCAAGUAAUAUACUUAGAAUAACUAUGAAAAAUUCAAAAGACUCCCACAAUUAGCACAUCUUCUCCAUCUAAAUCAAAGUCCACAGCUAUUAAAAACCAAAAAGAUACCAUAUCCAUAUAAAAAGCAAUUUGUCUGCCACAUUGACCAACUUACUGACGGUGGAUUGUGAUCAGAGUUGGAUAAAACCCCAGUCUCAACAACCAUCUUCACCAAAUUAAAUUCACCAUUAUCUUAAAGCUGGUGAAAGGCAGCAGAGAGCUGUUGAUCAAUGGCAAGGGAACUUCAAAAUUUCAGUUUUAUUCACCCACACUAAAAUUUUCGUGAAUAAGAGAAAAUAACUCUGGAAAAUGAGAGCCAGAAGCAUCAAGUCGUAGGGUACACAGCUGAAAGUGCAAUCAGGGGUCCUCCAGAAGAAUGGGGAAAGAAAUGAGCUAGAACAUGUGCAGGCCUUCCCAGACAAGAAAGAACUCUGAAAGAACUUGUCCUAUGAAUUAAUGCUUAUGCAGCAAGAAUGAACCAUUACUGAUCACAGAUAUACUCCAUAUCAAAACUGACGAGGUAAUUAUUG